rnacentral:rRNA from 1 species
ACCCCACAUCUCCGAGGGGAGGGGGCGCCCGCCAGAAGCACGAAACUCUGUAUUAUAGUGGCAUCUCUGAGUAAAAAACAAAUAAGUUAAAACUUUCAACAACGGAUCUCUUGGUUCUGGCAUCGAUGAAGAACGCAGCGAAAUGCGAUAAGUAAUGUGAAUUGCAGAAUUCAGUGAAUCAUCGAAUCUUUGAACGCACAUUGCGCCCCGCUAGUACUCUAGCGGGCAUGCCUGUUCGAGCGUCAUUUCAACCCUCAAGCCCUGCUUGGUGUUGGGGCCCUACGGCUGCCGUAGGCCCUGAAAGGAAGUGGCGGGCUCGCUACAACUCCGAGCGUAGUAAUUCAUUAUCUCGCUAGGGACGUUGCGGCGCGCUCCUGCCGUUAAAGACCAUCUUUAACUCAAGGUUGACCUCGGAUCAGGUAGGAAUACCCGCUGAACUUAAGCAUAUCAAU